GGAGACAACGUAUCAGUCAGUACAAGUGAGGUGUGCAUUGGAUUCAUUCAGAAUGUCAGGACGACUCCAGGAGGAAAGGCCUCCAGAGACAGGAGACAGUAAAAGAAAUGGCCUCGCUCCUCAGUCAGAGCAGAGUCCUGAGCACCCAGAAAUGCCAGGUGAUGGACAAACGCUUGGGAAAAAAAAA